GCCGAGGUGGCGGAACUGGCAGACGCAGAGGACUCAAAAUCCUCCGCCCGCGAGGGCUUAGGGGUUCGAUUCCCCUCCUCGGCA
rnacentral:tRNA from 1 species